GGAGAAAUGGACCCAAUUUUGCCAGAGCCGUAGAGACCCUUCAUGGGAGAAUGUGCGAAAAAAAGCACAAGCCGUCCAAAAACAAAACACUGCCCCUCACGUGAUGUCUCGUGGGGGUUAUGAAUAUUUAGAAAAAAAGUUGAUGGAUGAGAAGAGAAA